rnacentral:siRNA from 1 species
CCAUCCAACCAUCCUUGCAGGAGC